UGGGGAAUUUUGGACAAUGGGCGAAAGCCUGAUCCAGCAAUGCCGCGUGUGUGAAGAAGGCCUUCGGGUUGUAAAGCACUUUUGUCCGGAAAGAAAUCCUUGGCUCUAAUACAGUCGGGGGAUGACGGUACCGGAAGAAUAAGCACCGGCUAACUACGUGCCAGCAGCCGCGGUAAUACGUAGGGUGCAAGCGUUAAUCGGAAUUACUGGGCGUAAAGCGUGCGCAGGCGGUUUGCUAAGACCGAUGUGAAAUCCCCGGGCUCAACCUGGGAACUGCAUUGGUGACUGGCAGGCUAGAGUAUGGCAGAGGGGGGUAGAAUUCCACGUGUAGCAGUGAAAAUGCGUAGAGAUGUGGAGGAAUACCGAUGGCGAAGGCAGCCCCCUGGGCCAAAUACUGACGCUCAUGCACGAAAAGCGUGGGGAGCAAAACAGGAUUAGAUACCCUGGUAGUCCACGCCCUAAAACGAUGUCAACUAGUUGUUGGGGACUUCAUUUCCUUAGUAACGUAGCUAACGCGUGAAGUUGACCGCCUGGGGAGUACGGUCGCAAGAUU
rnacentral:rRNA from 1 species